rnacentral:lncRNA from 1 species
GGGGGAAAGAACAGUCAGUCAUGUUCAGGACAAGAAUAUCGCAAUGGGGCAUCGACAGCUGCUAAGAAUUUGGGAUGGUAAAGAGCAGCCGUUUGAGUCCCAGAACUGGCAUCACAAUUCCACACGCUCAUUCCACAACCGAGCUGGCACUAACAGCGGUUAUCCGACGGGACCAGGAGAGCGCUACACAGACUGGGACAACAGUGUCAGCAACUCUUUGCAUGGGGUUCCUCGCUUGCAUCGCAACAACAGGGAACUCCAGUCCCCACCAGAAAGAUGGGCCCCCUCAGACUGCCGCAGGAGCUUCCCAGGCAGGAUGAUAAACAACAGACCUGGACCCUGGAAGCGACCAGCCAUUCACCAAAGGCGAGAGCAACUGCACCAGCACAGUCCACCCCCACAGCACCCUUUAUCCUCCAGGGAUGAGUGUCCAAUCAAGAGAAGGAGGGACUCAGGCCCGGAUCAGUCAUCUCAUCCUGGUUCAAGGCAUUUACAAUUAGUUGCCCAUGCCCCAUCACCACCUCGCCACCACCGCUGCAAUCAAGAAGACUGGAAACAUCUUAAUGACAGGGCAGGUCCUUGCCACCACUCUGACCACAGGACCUCAACACCACAGCAACAGGAAACCUCUAAACUGCGAGCUGGAGGACAUGGCUUUAGUCAUCUACCAAGCCCAAACCAGAGCUGCGGCAACAGGCUACCACAUCAUGGAAGCAGAGGGAAGGUGGACCGGAAAAUCUCGUCUUCACCAGCAGACCACACCCGUGUGCCUUACAGCCACCAAAAUCAUCAUUACCACCAUCAGCGGCACACAGGCCACCCUAGAGCCCCACAGCACAAUGUCCAGCUACGCGCUCUGGAGGAGAAGGAUUCACGGAGCCAUCACCACAAACCAAGCACAGUAAGAAAUAAACUUUUAUAAUUUGAAGAUAAGAUUUUUUUAUGUUAUUUUUUUUAUUAAACAUUAUUAUAUUAUCCCCUUAAAAAAAAGUCCAAAGAGAUAAAUCUUUAAAUCUGCAGGAAACUCAUCACAGAGGAACUUCAAGGGAUCCGGUCCUCUCCAAGACACCUGCUGUAGAAUCUCCCUCCUAUCCAUCUGUCCUCUGCAGUCCUAAAGAUGGAGGUUGUACUUCCAGCAGUCCAGUUGCUCCUUCCAGUCCCUCUUUACACACAGCAGCCAGUGGCAGAAAAGAUCCAUCUAUCAAACUCCAUGAAAGCCCCAAUGACUCCCUAAGACUUACCAUUUCUCCCAAACUACACUCUGGUUCAAAAUGCAGGUUUUCAGACAUUAAACACAGAAAGACCUCACAGCCCCACUCAUCACGACAGUCCCCUCAUGGCAGGCCGAGAGCUGAGAAGGAGCUAGAAGAAAACAAAAAAUCUGAGUACAUACAAAAAGAUAAGCUGGUGAAAAAAGAGAGAAAAGGUGGAGUUCAAAAGACAAAGUGUGAGGACAGAAAAAGGCGGAAGAAGAAAGAGGAAAAAAGGUUAGGAGAAAAGAAAGGGAAAAGAGAUAAGACAGUUAAAAAGGACAGAAAAUUAGGCUUGCAAACUAAAGUCACACAAAUAGAAAAGUUUCCUUCCAUUUCUACUUCUUCCAACUUAGAAGACGUCAAAACUACUUUUACCCCAAAAAGUCAAGGCCAUUCACUACCAAAAAACAAGCACAGGAAGAGGAGUGAAAAAGGAGAGAGGACAUCACAACAGAUGUCAUCAAAAUCACACCACAAAAUGCCCAAAAAGAACCACAACACCCCAAAACACCCUGUUAAGGCACCUCUCUCCAAAAACACCAGCCCUAAGAAGCCCACCAUCAACCCAUCCCAAUCAAAAGACGGACCAAAUACAAACGCUAAUGACACACUCCAUUCCCUCUUAUUUAAAGCCUUAGCCC